GGCAGCCCACUCCCUCCUCACUUGCUCUCAUUUCCCACUCUCCACUCCUCUCCACUCCUCUCCUUUGCCUCAUUUCUUUUCACUCCCUACUAUUUCCUCCACUCCCUCACACUCUCCUCCUCCACUUCCCCACGAAAAUGGUGCUCCCCUUGCUCCCAUGGCCGGCCAUAGCCAUGGCAAGCCACCAAGAUGAAGCUCUCCCCCUCCCUCAAGCUCAUCCUCACCAUGAGAGCCUCCCUCUCCUUCUUCUCCCUAACCUUAGAUGGUUUAAUCUCCUCUUCUUCUCCCUCCAUUGCUAAGAUUGGAUCUUGAUGCAGGUGCAUGUUGGUCCAAGCAUGGAGAAUGUUGAGCUAUCCUCAGAUCUGAAGUUCUUGAGCAAAGUUCGUCCAAAACCUUGCAGUAAUUUCUGUUUCUUGCUGUUUCAGAUUCUGGUACGAUCUUGUAAAAUCCGCCAAAUCUCGUGUGCAGAUCCAAAUCGAGUAGUUCAAAGUUCUGCAGAUAGGGGAUGUUUGGUUUAUACUAUGGUGAUAACCGAGAGAGGAAAUUGCUAAGUUGUGAUACUCUCAUACCUUUACUAGACGCGAGCAAUUCCGGAAAAGAAGAAGAAGUGGAAUUGGACAAGGAUUUUAUUUAUAUUGUUGGGAUUCUUAUAUUGAUGGAGUUGAAGAAGUACAGGGACAAAUAAGCCAAG